UUCCACAUCACCCCUAGGUUUUGGCCAGCCUGAGCAACUUAAGACUGUUUCAAAGAAGAGGUACACUGCUUGCAGCUGAGUUUUAGAUGCCACUGAAGCCUCAACCCAUCCUGUAGCUUCGGUGCUGUCCUUCUCACCACUUUUAGCUAUGGAAACAGGCUUGGGGACACUUGUUCAGGUCACACAGCCAAUGAAAGUAUGUGGAUUGAAGCUCAGCACAAGUUCAAGGAAGUCAGACCAGCUGCAGCCUCAGCAAAGGAGUCUUAGAUCUGCCAGCCACUCUAGGGCACGUCUUUUAUCUCUCAUACAUAUGAACUCUUUAAAUCAGAGGCUUGCCUGCUGUGGACUAAGCACAGACAAAGCCCAUGAGGGGGGAGGAGCUGGAGGGGUGUAGAGGGACACUGGUACUCCUGCCUCAUUCUUCAUACCCCUCCCUCAGCAAGUGUGGCACAUACCCCCCAGAGAGCUGCCUCUUCAGCCUCAUUGGCAACAUGGGUGCUUUCAUGGUGGCCCUCAUCUGCCUCCUUCGGUACGGGCAGCUCCUAGAGCAGAACCGGCACUCCUGGAUCAAC
rnacentral:lncRNA from 1 species